rnacentral:rRNA from 1 species
GUUUUAUAUUUCGAAUUUAGUAUUAAUUUAAGAAUUAAUAUUUUUCUUUAAUUUUGAAUAUUUUAUUGGGGUGAUAAAAAGAUAAACUUAACUCUUUUUUUUAUUUUACACUUAUAUGUGAUUUUUUGAUCCAUUUUUUAUGAUUAUAAGAAUAAAU